AUGUGGCGACACAGCGCGGAACCCGAAAACGCCUCUCAGUUCGGAUCGGAGUCUGCAACCCGACUCCGUGAAGCUGGAUUCGCUAGUAAUCGCGCAUCAGCCAUGGCGCGGUGAAUACGUUCCCGGGCCUUGUACACACCGCCCGUCAAGCCAUGGGAGCCGGGAGCGCUUGAAGUCCGUGACCGCGAGGGUCGGCCUAGGGUGAAACCGGUGAUUAGGGCUAAGUCGUAACAAGGUAGC
rnacentral:rRNA from 1 species